rnacentral:lncRNA from 1 species
ACCAGUGUUAUUGUUCAGAAAAAGUUCUCUUAUUUGUUUAACUACUUUGUUUGUUUGUUUGUUCAACAGAUUGGGUGGCCAGCUUCUGUGCAGAAAAAGGGAAAGCACUGACACACUCAACUGAAGAAGUUGUCUUGUGAUGAAACAGCACAUUUCAGUGACCGAUGACAGCAUGGAGAACUAUAAAAUGAUUCUGACGUUCAUCGAUCCAUUUUAUAUCCUAACAAUAUGUACACAAAACAGCGGGCAUCGAGCAAUUGCAGUGGCCAUUCACUACUUACCAACAUCACACAUCUGACAGAAAAAUCCCUUCAAGAACAGCGUGGUGACCUGGUGCACCUAUGGAUUUUAUGAAACCAUCAAUCUGUGACAAUGUCACCCAAAGUUACAGUAAAUAAGUUAUCAAAGUAGUUUUGUGGGUGACAGUAAUGUAUUUGUUUGGAGUCUGCUGUGCACCGAAAGGCAUAUACAUUUGCUAUAAAUGGAUCUUUAAUCUCUCUGAAUCAUUUCAUUCUUUUUUUACACACUAUAAAAUUGCCAUUUUUAUGGCCAAGCUUGAUGUACGAUAUGGC